GAUGAACGCUGGCGGCGUGCCUAAUACAUGCAAGUCGAGCGAACGGACGAGAAGCUUGCUUCUCUGAUGUUAGCGGCGGACGGGUGAGUAACACGUGGAUAACCUACCUAUAAGACUGGGAUAACUUCGGGAAACCGGAGCUAAUACCGGAUAAUAUUUUGAACCUCAUGGUUCAAAAGUGAAAGACGGUCUUGCUGUCACUUAUAGAUGGAUCCGCGCUGCAUUAGCUAGUUGGUAAGGUAACGGCUUACCAAGGCAACGAUGCAUAGCCGACCUGAGAGGGUGAUCGGACACACUGGAACUGAGAAACGGUCCAGACUCCUACGGGAGGCAGCAGUAGGGAAUCUUACGCAAUGGGCGAAAGCCUGACGGAGCAACGCCGCGUGAGUGAUGAAGGUCUUCGGAUCGUAAAACUCUGUUAUUAGGGAAGAACAUAUGUGUAAGUAACUGUGCACAUCUUGACGGUACCUAAUCAGAAAGCCACGGCUAACUACGUG
rnacentral:rRNA from 1 species